GUCGAACGAGACUUCGGGUCUAGUGGCGCACGGGUGCGUAACGCGUGGGAAUCUGCCCUUGGGUACGGAAUAACAGCGAGAAAUUGCUGCUAAUACCGUAUAAUGACGUAAGUCCAAAGAUUUAUCGCCCAGGAUGAGCCCGCGUAGGAUUAGCUUGUUGGUGAGGUAAAAGCUCACCAAGGCGACGAUCCUUAGCUGGUCUGAGAGGAUGAUCAGCCACACUGGGACUGAGACACGGCCCAGACUCCUACGGGAGGCAGCAGUGGGGAAUAUUGGACAAUGGGCGAAAGCCUGAUCCAGCAAUGCCGCGUGAGUGAUGAAGGCCUUAGGGUUGUAAAGCUCUUUUGCCCGGGAUGAUAAUGACAGUACCGGGAGAAUAAGCUCCGGCUAACUCCGUGCCAGCAGCCGCGGUAAUACGGAGGGAGCUAGCGUUGUUCGGAAUUACUGGGCGUAAAGGGUGCGCAGGCGGUUUUGUAAGUUAGAAGGGUGAAAUCCCCCGGGCUUAACCUGGGGAAUGGCAUUUGGGACUGCAAGGUUAGAGCGUUGGACAGAGGAGAAUGGAAUUCCUGGUGUAGCAGUGAAAUGCGUUAGAUUUCAGGAGGGAAUACCGAUGGGAAAGGCAGUCUCUGGUUAACAAUGGAC
rnacentral:rRNA from 1 species